ACCAUCAGCGUCGCAGCGCAUCCGGUUGGACCAGGCUGUCAAGAGACUGUUUGCUGUUCUCUUAUCAUUUCUGCUCGAGGGGAGCAAGUCCUAUGCCUCUAGGACAGGAAAUACCCCAGACCCAGCCUGCGGUUUGGAAGCGUCUCGCUGCUGCUGCUCUGCCAGUUCUAGGAGAACAAAUGACAAAAGGCCGGAGGGGACAGAGUGAUACUAUGCAGCUGUUGGUGGCCUGCUCAAUUGGAUGAGAGCAGGGCUAGAUGGCCCUUAGGCAUCUCUCCAGCACAAAUGAUUCCAUACUUAAAUCAGAUAAUGUUAAAAAAAAAAAAAAACAGGGAUUUUUACUGUUAAAUUAUUUAAUAUAUCAUCAGUAAUGACAAGUUUAGUUAACUGUGUUUUACAAUUUGUAUUACUAGUUAUGUUAUUGCUAUUACUGUUAUAUUCUACUGUUACACUGGAGAUGCUUUCAAGUUGUUUUGGGUAUGUUUGCUGUAUAAAAUCCUGGCUACAAAAGGAAAUCGAAGCUGAACCUUGGUCAAGAUAAUACCUCAUAUAGAAAUAUGCUUAUUUGACUCAUCAAAAAAUGUAAAAUGAUCAUGCUUUGUAAUGCUUAUGUGAUCACUGUAGUUGUCUACUUCCCCUUCUGCCAUAUUAAAUUUUUUACUACAAUGUAAUA